UAAUGUAUUACCAGAUGUGCCUUAAUCUGCAGUAGAUAUAUAGCUAGCUAAAACGUGUGUACUUUAGUUAAAUAAGAACAAGUUCUUCAACUUGUGUUCGUCUGCUGCAAUCAAACUUCGCAGCACAUUGCAGUAACGAUAUCUCAUACGUUUUUUUCAGAUUCGGAAUAUAAAAGGAAAUUUCUGGAUGGCAUCAAGCGAACAGAAAGAGGGAGACCUAUCAGUAGAAAAAUUGAUUUCCGGAUUACAAAAUGUUAUGCGUUUAGCUGUUCCUGCUAGAGAGGAAUGGGAGAACCUCUUGAAUUCUGGGAGAUCGGAGACGGCAGACACAUUAUUCAGUGAUAUAGAUAAUGCAAUGAAAUUGGCUAAACAAGAAACAUUCAAAAUACAGGAAAAGCUUAUGCGGGCAAAUAAAGAAGCAAGACAAUCAUUCCAGCUUGAGCUAGAACAGUUAAAAAUCGAAAAUGAACAAAACAGAAAAGAUAUUCAACAAUUGACGGAGGAAAAACUAAAGCUCCAAAAAAUGGUUGAUAGCCAGUGUCUGGAAAUCAAGUCUAUAAAAGAAGAACGAGGGAAAUUUAAAUAAGAAUUGAAAGGUGAACAAAAAGAGCUUCAGCAACUUAAUGACGACAAUCGUGGACCCAAGGCAACAAUUAAGAAGAAAUCGGAAAAAAAAACUACCUGAAUUUGAAGAACAAAAAAUUCUCCAAUCAGAUGAUCUUCAGUUGCAUAUGGAUGAUACCAAACAAGCAAAUCUUGCAACAAACCUUACGGUCAAACUUGUUCUUUCUUCUGUUUUAUAUAUUAAUACAAAUCCAUAAUGUAAAUAGGGUUAUACUUUCCAGACACUGAUGAAAUAUGUCAUGCAACGAUGAACCAAAGCGAAUCACUAUUCAAAUGUUCGAGUUACCACUCAAAGUGGAUAUAAAUUAUAAAUAUAAAAUACUAUAUGCACUACAACUAUCUUAUAGCCGUUUGCAUUUCAAUGCCCUUUUUCGUUUUGAUUUCAUAUUCGUCAACUUGCCUAUAGUAAACGGACUUGCACGUUCUGUGAUAGAGAGCAGUGUCCGAGGACUCACAACCAGCAAAAGUGAAAGAUUUGACAAAAAUGUUUGACUGGAAAUAACUCGGAAACAAAACAUUGGAAAUUAUGCACUUCAGGCAGUAGGCGAACAAGGCAUGUGUUAAAAAAAGAAUCAUGCGUGACCAUUAACAUGCUUUUUUAUUCGCCAUUGAGGGAUAAUAUAACUUAAAACAUUCAAUCUUUUAGACCGGCACACUGAUUUCACAAGAAAAAACUGUGUGAUGUAAAAAUCCAAUAACUCGAUAAAAUAUGUCAAAUUUGAUCUCGAAUGCAUGCAAAAACAAUAAGUUCCAUUGUGGAAAAAUGGUUUAAUCAUUAUGUUAAUUAUAUUGAAGAUAUGGAUAAUUGUUUAAAUGAUCAUUUAUUAAAGGACAUAUAGUGAAGAAAGUAUGCUUAAUAACACAUUAGUUAGUGUGUGUAUUAGUAAUCAGAAAUUUUGAAAAUAAUUUAUAAUG